AUUGAACGCUGGCGGCAGGCCUAACACAUGCAAGUCGAGCGGAUGAAGGGAGCUUGCUCCUGGAUUCAGCGGCGGACGGGUGAGUAAUGCCUAGGAAUCUGCCUGGUAGUGGGGGAUAACGUCCGGAAACGGGCGCUAAUACCGCAUACGUCCUGAGGGAGAAAGUGGGGGAUCUUCGGACCUCACGCUAUCAGAUGAGCCUAGGUCGGAUUAGCUAGUUGGUGGGGUAAAGGCCUACCAAGGCGACGAUCCGUAACUGGUCUGAGAGGAUGAUCAGUCACACUGGAAGUGAGACGCGGUCCAGACUCCUACGGGAGGCAGCAGUGGGGAAUAUUGGACAAUGGGGGAAAGCCUGAUCCAGCCACGCCGCGUGUGUGAAGAAGGUCUUCGGAUUGUAAAGCACUUUUAGUUGGGAGGAAGGGCAGUAAGUUAAUACCUUGCUGUUUUGACGUUACCAACAGAAUAAGCACCGGCUAACUUCGUG
rnacentral:rRNA from 1 species